rnacentral:rRNA from 1 species
ACUCAAAUGAAUAGACGGGGGCUCACACAAGCGGUGGAGCAUGUGGCUUAAUUCGAGGCUACGCGAAGAACCUUUCCCGGGUUUGACAUGUGCGAAAGCGAGAGGAAGUAGCGCGCGGAAACGUGGUGCCAACGGUAUCCAGUCCGGAACCUCUUACAGGUGCUGCAUGGCUGUCGUCAGCUCGUGUCGUGAGAUGUCGGGUUAAGUCCCAUAACGAGCGAAACCCUUGUCUCCAGUUGCCAACGUAAAGUCGGGGACUCUGGAGAGACUGCCGGUGUUAAACCGGAGGAAGGCGGGGAUGACGUCAAGUCCUCAUGGCCUUUAUGCCCGGGGCUGCACACGUGCUACAAUGGCGUAUACAAAGGGAAGCAAACGCGCGAGCGGGAGCAAACCCCAAAAAAUACGCCCCAGUUCAGAUCGAAGGCUGCAACUCGCCUUCGUGAAGUUGGAAUCGCUAGUAAUCGCGGGUCAGCAACACCGCGGUGAAUGUGUUCCUGAGCCUUGCACACACCGCCCGU